AGUAAACUGUACCAGCGUGUCGGACAUGCCCGGGAAGGAAUAACAAGUUUCCUGCCAGCCGUGGAGUCAAGGGGAUCCGAUUAGACUCCAAGGAUGACAGUAAACUGUACCAGCGUGUCGGACAUGCCCGGGAAGGAACAACAAGUUUCCUGCCAGCCGUGGAGUCAAGGGGAUCCGAUUAGACUCCAAGGAUGACAGUAAACUGUACCAGCGUGUCGGACAUGCCCGG